rnacentral:rRNA from 1 species
UACGAAGGGGGCUAGCGUUGCUCGGAAUUACUGGGCGUAAAGCGUGCGCAGGCGGUUCGCUGUGUCCUGUGUGAAAGCCCCGGGCUUAACCUGGGAAUGGCAUGGGAAACUGGCGGGCUUGAGUAUGGGAGAGGUGAGUGGAAUUUCCGGUGUAGCGGUGAAAUGCGUAGAUAUCGGAAGGAACACCUGUGGCGAAAGCGGCUCACUGGACCAUUACUGACGCUGAGGCACGAAAGCUAGGGGAGCAAACAGG